CAUGCCAAAGAAUUUACUUUUUUAACACAUUCUUCAUAUUACUAGAAUUUUCGCAAGAUAGAGUGAAAAUUGUCGACACAUAUUUCCAUAGAAAGGUGUUCCAUAUUUCAACACCCUUUAUGAAUCUUACAAAAUUCUUGCUUGUAUACCUUAAAAUGAUUUUUUUAUUUUUUUAGCAACAAACUAUCACACAUUUGUAGUUCAAAUUUGAAUUACUUUUCAGAAAUCGCUAGAAAUUCAUUUAAAUGGGAAAAGGUAUCAAUAUAGCUAUAAAAUUUAAAGCCUUUUGACACAGCCAUUUAAAUACGUUCUACUUUGUGUGAAAAUUGUAUAGGUGCCAUUU
rnacentral:lncRNA from 1 species